AGAGUUUGAUCCUGGCUCAGGAUGAACGCUGGCGGCGUGCUUAACACAUGCAAGUCGAGCGAUGAAGUUUCCUUCGGGAAACAGAUUAGCGGCGGACGGGUGAGUAACACGUGGGUAACCUGCCUCAUAGAGUGGAAUAGCCUUCCGAAAGGAAGAUUAAUACCGCAUAACGUUGAAAGAUGGCAUCAUCAUUCAACCAAAGGAGCAAUCCGCUAUGAGAUGGACCCGCGGCGCAUUAGCUAGUUGGUGGGGUAACGGCCUACCAAGGCGACGAUGCGUAGCCGACCUGAGAGGGUGACCGGCCACAUUGGGACUGAGACACGGCCCAAAACUCUACGGGAGGCAGCAGUGGGGAAUAUUGCACAAUGGGGGAAACCCUGAUGCAGCAACGCCGCGUGAGUGAUGACGGUCUUCGGAUUGUAAAGCUCUGUCUUUAGGGACGAUAAUGACGGUACCCAAGGAGAAAGCCACGGCUAACUACGUGCCAGCAGCCGCGGUAAUACGUAGGUGGCGAGCGUUAUCCGGAUUUACUGGGCGUAAAGGGAGCGUAGGCGGAUGAUUAAGUGGGAUGUGAAAUACCCGGGCUCAACUUGGGUGCUGCAUUCCAAACUGGUUAUCUAGAGUGCAGGAGAGGAGAGUGGAAUUCCUAGUGUAGCGGUGAAAUGCGUAGAGAUUAGGAAGAACACCAGUGGCGAAGGCGCCUUUCUGGACUGUAACUGACACUGAGGCGCGAAAGCGUGGGGAGCGAACAGGAUUAGAUACCCUGGUAGUCCUGGCCGUAAACGAUGGGUACUAGGUGUAGGAGGUAUACCCCUUCUGUGCCGGAGUUAACGCAAUAAGUACCCCGCCUGGGGAGUACGGCCGCAAGGUUGAAACUCAAAGGAAUUGACGGGGGCCCGCACAAGCGGCGGAGCAUGCGGAUUAAUUCGAUGCAACGCGAAGAACCUUACCUGGGCUUGACAUGUUCCCGACGAUCCCAGAGACUCCUCUUUCCCUCCGGGGACAGAAGUGACAGGUGGUGCAUGGUUGUCGUCAGCUCGUGUCGUGAGAUGUUGGGUUAAGUCCCGCAACGAGCGCAACCCUUGUCGUUAGUUACUACCAUUAAGUUGAGGACUCUAGCGAGACUGCCUGGGUUAACCAGGAGGAAGGUGGGGAUGACGUCAAAUCAUCAUGCCCCUUAUGUGUAGGGCUACACACGUGCUACAAUGGCUGGUACAGAGAGAUGCAAUACCGCGAGGUGGAGCCAAACUUAAAAACCAGUCUCAGUUCGGAUUGUAGGCUGAAACUCGCCUACAUGAAGCUGGAGUUACUAGUAAUCGCGAAUCAGAAUGUCGCGGUGAAUACGUUCCCGGGUCUUGUACACACCGCCCGUCA
rnacentral:rRNA from 1 species